rnacentral:rRNA from 1 species
GUGGGGAAUAUUGCACAAUGGGCGCAAGCCUGAUGCAGCAACGCCGCGUGAGGGACGACGGCCUUCGGGUUGUAAACCUCUUUUAGCAGGGAAGAAGCGAAAGUGACGGUACCUGCAGAAAAAGCACCGGCUAACUACGUGCCAGCAGCCGCGGUAAUACGUAGGGUGCAAGCGUUGUCCGGAAUUAUUGGGCGUAAAGAGCUCGUAGGCGGUUUGUCGCGUCUGCUGUGAAAACCCGAGGCUCAACCUCGGGCCUGCAGUGGGUACGGGCAGACUAGAGUGCGGUAGGGGAGAUUGGAAGUCCUGGUGUAGCGGUGGAAUGCGCAGAUAUCAGGAGGAACACCGAUGGCGAAGGCAGAUCUCUGGGCCGUAACUGACGCUGAGGAGCGAAAGCGUGGGGAGCGAACAGGAUUAGAAACCCGAGUAGUCC